UCCCUGGUGUCUCAGAUGGUAAAGCGUCUGCCUGCAAUGCAGAAGACCUGGGUUCGAUCCCUGGGUUGGGAA
rnacentral:tRNA from 1 species